AACGCACAUUGCGCCCUGUGGUAUUCCGCAGGGCAUGCCUGUUCGAGCGUCAUUUCAACCCUCAAGCCCUGCUUGGUGUUGGGCCGGGCCCGUCGCGGCCGGCCCUAAAGACAGUGGCGGCGCCGCUCGGCUCUCAGCGUAGUACACCCCUCGCUGCGGUCCCGGGCGGCUGCCCGCCAGAACCCCGACUCUGUGGUUGACCUCGGAUCAGGUAGGGAUACCCGCUGAACUUAA
rnacentral:misc_RNA from 1 species